rnacentral:rRNA from 1 species
AGUGAACGCUGGCGGUAGGCCUAACACAUGCAAGUCGAACGGCAGCACAGUAAGAGCUUGCUCUUACGGGUGGCGAGUGGCGGACGGGUGAGGAAUACAUCGGAAUCUACUUUUUCGUGGGGGAUAACGUAGGGAAACUUACGCUAAUACCGCAUACGACCUACGGGUGAAGGCAGGGGAUCUUCGGACCUUGCGCGAUUGAAUGAGCCGAUGUCGGAUUAGCUAGUUGGCGGGGUAAAGGCCCACCAAGGCGACGAUCCGUAGCUGGUCUGAGAGGAUGAUCAGCCACACUGGAACUGAGACACGGUCCAGACUCCUACGGGAGGCAGCAGUGGGGAAUAUUGGACAAUGGGCGCAAGCCUGAUCCAGCCAUACCGCGUGGGUGAAGAAGGCCUUCGGGUUGUAAAGCCCUUUUGUUGGGAAAGAAAAGCAGCAGGUUAAUACCCCGCUGUUCUGACAGUACCCAAAGAAUAAGCACCGGCUAACUUCGUG